CAUGUAUUAUGUGUUUAUAUAUUCAUACAACUGUUGUUACGCGUAUCAAAUAAAAACCAAAUCAGUCUCAUAUUUGAUUUGCUUAUGUCAACUCCAGUUCGGUAGGUGGGUGACAAUUGAAACCUUUACACCCCCAGGUAAGUGAUUAAUGCUUAAGUUUUUCAUCUCAGUAUUGUUUUAUUCAUUACAACAACAUAUGCAUAUCAAAUGAGACUUGUCUUACAUUGAUACAGAAAUAUAAAACGUGUUCACAUAUUUAUACCACUGAGGAAAUCUGAGGGUCUGGUGCAUAGCCUUUACUGUUGAUUUCAUUGCCGUUUAACUUCUCUGAGGAGAAGAUUUCAUCACCACACAGCGUUACUAAUGCCUUGAGAUCAUCAUCCGUGAUUCUCUGAGAUUAUUAUCAAACAAUAAUUAAGUAAGACAUUCUAUAAUCAAUUCGUAUUUGAAAUUAUAAUAUCAAAUUUAGUUUUAAGUAUAUGUGCACAAGAAGAUAUAAAAUACAAAAAAAAAAAAACCUUUUUCUGCUUGGUUAAAUCUCUGAACCGUGAGAAUACCUCGUUCAAUUUCUCAUCAUUGAUUUCAUAUCCCAACUGAGAGCAGAAACAAACACCCAAGUAUAUUAAUUAAUUAAUAAAUAUAUAGAUCUCCUAUUUAAGUAUUUGUAUAUGAUCAUUGUGUAACCAACGAGUAAAAAUGAUCUAAUCACAAUGUAUUUACCUCUUUCAGACAACCUUUCACCGCAUGACGUCCACUACGUAUUUCCAUAGGUUUUUCAAAUAAGUUAAAUAAGUAAAAAAAUAUUACUUAAA
rnacentral:lncRNA from 1 species